GGAGCAGACAACAGGGAUUGCCCUAGUAACGGCGAGUGAAGCGGCAACAGCUCAAAUUUGAAAUCUGGCCCUCGGGUCCGAGUUGUAAUUUGUAGAGGAUGUUUUUGGCGCGGUGCCUUCCGAGUUCCCUGGAACGGGACGCCUUAGAGGGUGAGAGCCCCGUACGGUUGGACGCUAAGCCUCUGUAAAACUCCUUCGACGAGUCGAGUAGUUUGGGAAUGCUGCUCAAAAUGGGAGGUAAAUUCCUUCUAAAGCUAAAUACCGGCCAGAGACCGAUAGCGCACAAGUAGAGUGAUCGAAAGAUGAAAAGCACUUUGAAAAGAGGGUUAAAUAGCACGUGAAAUUGUUGAAAGGGAAGCGUUUAUGACCAGACUUUUUCCUGGCGGAUCAUCCGGUGUUUUCACCGGUGCACUUCGCCUGGUUUAGGCCAGCAUCGGUUUCCGUAGGGGGAUAAAAGCUUCGGGAAUGUGGCUCCCUCGGGAGUGUUAUAGCCUGUUGCAUAAUACCCUUAUGGGGACCGAGGUACGCGCUCUGCAAGGAUGCUGGCGUAAUGGUCAUCAACGACCCGUCUUGAAACACGGACCAAGGAGUCGAACAUUUAUGCGAGUGUUUGGGUGUUAAACCCUCACGCGUAAUGAAAGUGAACGGAGGUGAGAGCCCUCGGGUGCAUCAUCGACCGAUCCUGAUGUCUUCGGAUGGAUUUGAGUAAGAGCAUAACUGUUCGGACCCGAAAGAUGGUGAACUAUGCGUGGAUAGGGUGAAGCCAGAGGAAACUCUGGUGGAGGCUCGCAGCGGUUCUGACGUGCAAAUCGAUCGUCAAAUCUGCGCAUGGGGGCGAAAGACUAAUCGAACCAUUGAAAACCAGCGGUAAAUUUGAUUUACUAGGUGGUUAAGAGGUGGCCCGGCAGGGCAGAACACCUAGGCUGAGUCGAGUUACCCGGGAGCUACCCGGUAACGAAUCUCGGCCGACACCGCUAAAUUGCGGGGACAUCCUUUAGAAGGCUCCAGGCUACCGCGGCGUGCUGAAAAGCCCGUCCGCACCGAGGUUAGCGACCUUGGGUACGGUAAUAACGCCUGCGAGUUGGGACGACCUGCAGCCAACCCCGUUAACCAGGGGAGAGUUCACUGACUAUACAGCGGUGGGUUAGCGCUAAGCUAGCCUAAGACAUAGUCGAUCUACGGCCCUGAAAAGGAGCCUGCAAAUGAGCUAUG
rnacentral:rRNA from 1 species